rnacentral:lncRNA from 1 species
AAUGUGCAGCUGAAAGAGGGGCUCGGACGCCAGUGUUUAGGCUGGAGUACAAAGGGGCCGGGGAGCUGGGAGGGCUGCAUGACCUGCAACCAUGGCGGCCGUGGGCUGCGUCAUCACUCUGGAUGGGUGGUGGGCAAGGGCUGAGAGUACAUGGCGGUGAGCGUGGGUGGAGAGUAGGCGGCCGGCGUGGAGCGGUAGGAGGGGGUUUUUCUGGCAUUGUCUGCCCAGCUGCUCCAAGCCAGGCUGAUGAAGGAGGAGUCCCCUGUGGUGAGCUGGAGGUUGUAGCCUGAAGAUGGCACAGCUCUGUGAUUCAUCUCCUGCGGUUGUGGCGGCCACGGUGAUGGAGACUGCAGCUCAACAGGAGUGGUAGGAGGGUACCCGUGGAGGCCAAGUAGUAGGAGCCUUGGAGGGUGAGUAGGUGCAUGGAGGGUGACAGCAGCGCUGGUUCCGUUGGCGUCGGCGCUAAUGGUGGCGGCAGCAGCAAGUCUAGGGGCCAGGAAGGGGGAGUAGGAGAG